rnacentral:lncRNA from 1 species
CCUUAUUAUAAUGUGCAACAGAUAUAAGCACCAAAUAGAAACACCACAUGAAUAGGUGGGCUCAUUGGUGUGCUAGAGUUUGUAAUUCUUAUUCUCUAAUAAUAUCUUGGUAGCCGCUCAGCGCUCCCGAGGGACGUAGGCACAAUUAGCUUAACUCUGUUACCAAAUUCUCUUGUUCUUCUCUUUUAUUUAUUCUAUGUCUUUAUUUAAUUGUUUGUGGCUAACACUGCGCAACGAUUGUUUCCGCUGCACUAACAUAACGCAUCUAUUUAUAGG